ACAGUAACUGCAGAGCAGAACACAGUAAAAUACGCGGAUGAAGAAUGAUCGGUUGAGCGCAAUCUGAGAAAUCUUAAAUGUGAAAAUACCUGAGAUAUUUGCCUUCGCCUGGGAAUAUGUUCACAGUUCGCACAUUCAUCAUCAAAACUCAGAAUAAUUUGUUUAAAUGAACAGUUUACAGUAAACACUGUAGAUUAGGGUUUACUACCCUAAUCUUGAAAGUUUAUAAGUGUGGAAACGAAAAUAAAUAAUAAUUCAAUUAACAACGUGGAGCUGAAAAAAAACUUUGUGACGAAAUAUCAAUGCUAGAAAAAUAUAAAAGUUUAUAUGAGAAGAUUGAGUUGAUGUUGAACCAGCUGUAGGAUAAUGAUUGAGAUACUUAAACUAUAUUCUCUACUGGUUCUAAUCUCCAGGGUAGAAUUAGGCUUGAGUUAUGAGUUCUAUGAUGACCUGUAUUACGAUCAGAAUGGCUCGAACACACUAGAAGAGGGGCAUGGAGGGAGG